GACGAACGCUGGCGGCGUGCUUAACACAUGCAAGUCGAACGAAGAGCGAUGGAAGCUUGCUUCUAUCAAUCUUAGUGGCGAACGGGUGAGUAACGCGUAAUCAACCUGCCCUUCAGAGGGGGACAACAGUUGGAAACGACUGCUAAUACCGCAUACGAUCUAACCUCGGCAUCGAGGAUAGAUGAAAAGUGGCCUCUACAUGUAAGCUAUCACUGAAGGAGGGGAUUGCGUCUGAUUAGCUAGUUGGAGGGGUAACGGCCCACCAAGGCGAUGAUCAGUAGCCGGUCUGAGAGGAUGAACGGCCACAUUGGGACUGAGACACGGCCCAGACUCCUACGGGAGGCAGCAGUGGGGAAUCUUCCGCAAUGGACGAAAGUCUGACGGAGCAACGCCGCGUGAGUGAUGACGGCCUUCGGGUUGUAAAGCUCUGUUAAUCGGGACGAAAGGCCUUCUUGCGAAUAGUGAGAAGGAUUGACGGUACCCGAAAUA
rnacentral:rRNA from 1 species